rnacentral:ncRNA from 1 species
UAGUGUCUUCAGGGUUGGGUGAAAUUCCCUAUCGGCGGUACAGCCCGCAAGCUAAAAAAGCAGAUUCGGUUAAAUUCCGAAGCCGACAGUAUAGUCUGGAUGGAAGAAGAUAGUA